CAGGAAGAAGGCCUUCUGGGUUGUAAACUGCUUUGCCGGGGAUAAAAGACCCUGCGGGGGAAAUUGAAGGUACCUGGUGAAUAAGCCACCGGCUAACUACGUGC
rnacentral:rRNA from 1 species